rnacentral:rRNA from 1 species
UACAGAGGGGGCAAGCGUUGUUCGGAAUUACUGGGCGUAAAGGGCGCGUAGGCGGCCUUCUAAGUCGAACGUGAAAUCCCUGGGCUCAACCCAGGAACUGCGUCCGAUACUGAAAGGCUUGAAUCCGGGAGAGGGAUGCGGAAUUCCAGGUGUAGCGGUGAAAUGCGUAGAUAUCGAGAGGAACACCUGCGGCGAAGGCGGGGUUGCUGGGCUGACACUGACGCUGAUGCGCGAAAGCUAGGGGGAGCGAAACGGGG